GAUGAACGCUAGCUACAGGCUUAACACAUGCAAGUCGAGGGGCAGCAUGAACUUAGCUUGCUAAGUUUGAUGGCGACCGGCGCACGGGUGAGUAACACGUAUCCAACCUGCCGAUGACUCGGGGAUAGCCUUUCGAAAGAAAGAUUAAUACCCGAUGGCAUAGUUCUUCCGCAUGGUAGAACUAUUAAAGAAUUUCGGUCAUCGAUGGGGAUGCGUUCCAUUAGGUUGUUGGCGGGGUAACGGCCCACCAAGCCUUCGAUGGAUAGGGGUUCUGAGAGGAAGGUCCCCCACAUUGGAACUGAGACACGGUCCAAACUCCUACGGGAGGCAGCAGUGAGGAAUAUUGGUCAAUGGACGAGAGUCUGAACCAGCCAAGUAGCGUGAAGGAUGACUGCCCUAUGGGUUGUAAACUUCUUUUAUACGGGAAUAAAGUGAGGCACGUGUGCCUUUUUGUAUGUACCGUAUGAAUAAGCAUCGGCUAACUCCGUG
rnacentral:rRNA from 1 species